rnacentral:rRNA from 1 species
GACGAACGCUGGCGGCGUGCCUAAUACAUGCAAGUAGAACGCUGAAGGAGGAGCUUGCUUCUCUGGAUGAGUUGCGAACGGGUGAGUAACGCGUAGGUAACCUGCCUGGUAGCGGGGGAUAACUAUUGGAAACGAUAGCUAAUACCGCAUAAUAGCAGUUAUUGCAUGAUAACUGUUUGAAAGGUGCAAUUGCACCACUACCAGAUGGACCUGCGUUGUAUUAGCUAGUUGGUGGGGUAACGGCUCACCAAGGCGACGAUACAUAGCCGACCUGAGAGGGUGAUCGGCCACACUGGGACGGAGACACGGCCCAGACUCCUACGGGAGGCAGCAGUAGGGAAUCUUCGGCAAUGGACGGAAGUCUGACCGAGCAACGCCGCGUGAGUGAAGAAGGUUUUCGGAUCGUAAAGCUCUGUUGUAAGAGAAGAACGAGUGUGAGAGUGGAAAGUUCACACUGUGACGGUAUCUUACCAGAAAGGGACGGCUAACUACGUG